rnacentral:ncRNA from 1 species
AACCGCCGUAUACGGAUCCGUACGUACGGUGGUGUGAGAGGUCGGUAGCGUGAGCUACCUCCUACUCGAU